UCCCCUAUGCCUGAAGACAAACGGUGGC
rnacentral:piRNA from 1 species